AGUUAUAUGCUUGUCUCAAAGAUUAAGCCAUGCAUGUCUCAGUGCAAGCCUAAUUAAGGCGAUACCGCGAAUGGCUCAAUAUAUCAGUUUUGGUUCCUUAGAUCUUACUAACAGUUACUUGGAUAACUGUGGUAAUUCUAGAGCUAAUACAUGCAAUCAGAACUCUGACCAGUGAUGGGAUGAGUGCUUUUAUUAGAUCAAAACCAAUCGACGGAGGGCCUCGCGUCUGAAGUCGUUAAUUUUGAUGAAUCUGGAUAACUUUUGCCGAUCGCACGGUCCAGCACCGGCGACGCAUCUUUCAAAUGUCUGCCUUAUCAACUUUCGAUGGUAGUUUCUGCGACUACCAUGGUUGUCACGGGUAACGGGGAAUCAGGGUUCGAUUCCGGAGAGGGAGCCUGAGAAACGGCUACCACAUCCAAGGAAGGCAGCAGGCGCGCAAAUUACCCACUCCCGGCACGGGGAGGUAGUGACGAAAAAUAACGAUACGGGACUCUUACGAGGCCUCGUAAUCGGAAUGAGUACACUUUAAAUAUUUUAACGAGGAACAAUUGGAGGGCAAGUCUGGUGCCAGCAGCCGCGGUAAUUCCAGCUCCAAUAGCGUAUACUAAAAUUGUUGCGGUUAAAAAGCUCGUAGUUGCAUUUGUGCGCCGCGCUGUCGGUGCACCGCAUCCGCGGUGAUACUGACACGUUUGCGGAGCAUAUCGUCGGUGAGCCGACGGUUGGGAAACUGUCGUCGGUUCAAUAUCAAAAUCCUAUCGCGGUGCUCUUCAGUGAGUGUCGAGAUGGGCCGACAAUUUUACUUUGAACAAAUUAGAGUGCUCAAAGCGGGCUCAAAAUGCUGCUUGAAUAUUUCGUGCAUGGAAUAAUAGAAUAUGAUCUCGGUUCUAUUUUGUUGGUUUUCAGAACUCCGAGG
rnacentral:rRNA from 1 species